GACGUAGGGCGCGAGCGUUGUCCGGAUUUAUUGGGCGUAAAGAGCUCGUAGGCGGCUUGUCGCGUCGUCCGUGAAAACCCACAGCUCAACUGUGGGCUUGCGGUCGAUACGGGCAGGCUAGAGUUCGGUAGGGGAGACUGGAAUUCCUGGUGUAGCGGUGAAAUGCGCAGAUAUCAGGAGGAACACCGGUGGCGAAGGCGGCAUCCUGGACCAAUUCUGACGCUGAUGAGCGAAAGCCAGGGGAGCAAACGGG
rnacentral:rRNA from 1 species